GGUAGUAAAACAAAAUAAAACCUCUAAAAAUUGGCGGUUACAAUUUUUUAAAGAAACUCGUUUUUUAAUCGAUAACGCCCGAUAAUUUUUACUUAAUUUGCAAGUUUAUAUACCGCCGUUUUUAGAAAUAUAAUAAAAAAAAUUUCUAAACUAAUAGAUUUCCAAAAAUCAGGUCAAGGUGUAAUAAAUACUUAAGAUAAAAUAAGUUACAAUUAAAAAUAAUUUAAGGAAUUAAAUUUUAAUAAAUAAAAAAAAAGAAUUUGAAAAUAAUCAAAAAUCAAAAAUUUUUGAUGAAAAAAUAAAUAGUAAUGC
rnacentral:rRNA from 1 species